AAGGUUUUAAGUUAAAUAAACUAAUAGUUUUCAAAUCUAUUAAUAUAAGUAUAAAUCUUUUAAACCUUA
rnacentral:tRNA from 1 species